rnacentral:rRNA from 1 species
AUUGAACGCUGGCGGCAUGCUUUACACAUGCAAGUCGAACGGUAACAGGCUGCAAGGUGCUGACGAGUGGCGAACGGGUGAGUAAUGCAUCGGAACGUGCCCAGUCGUGGGGGAUAACGCAGCGAAAGCUGCGCUAAUACCGCAUACGAUCUAUGGAUGAAAGCGGGGGACCGUAAGGCCUCGCGCGAUUGGAGCGGCCGAUGUCAGAUUAGGUAGUUGGUGGGGUAAAGGCUCACCAAGCCAACGAUCUGUAGCUGGUCUGAGAGGACGACCAGCGACACUGGGACUGAGACACGGCCCAGACUCCUACGGGAGGCAGCAGUGGGGAAUUUUGGACAAGGGGCGGAAGCCUGAUCCAGCAAUGCCGCGUGCAGGAAGAAGGCCUUCGGGUUGUAAACUGCUUUUGUACGGAACGAAACGGCUCUCUCUAAUAGAGGGGGUUAAUGACGGUACCGUAAGAAUAAGCACCGGCUAACUACGUGCCAGCCGCCGCAGUAAAAC